GAUGAACGCUAGCGGCAGGCCUAAUACAUGCAAGUCGAACGAGAUUAAGAGGCUUGCUUCUUAUGAAAGUGGCGCACGGGUGCGUAACGCGUAUGCAACCUACCUUAAUCAGGGGGAUAGCCCGAAGAAAUUCGGAUUAAGACCGCAUAAAAACACAGGAUAGCAUUAUCCAAUGUUCAAAUAUUUAUAGGAUUAAGAUGGGCAUGCGUGUCAUUAGCUAGUUGGCGGGGUAACGGCCCACCAAGGCGACGAUGACUAGGGGAUCUGAGAGGAUGACCCCCCACACUGGUACUGAGACACGGACCAGACUCCUACGGGAGGCAGCAGUAAGGAAUAUUGGUCAAUGGAGGGAACUCUGAACCAGCCAUGCCGCGUGCAGGAAGACAGCCCUCUGGGUCGUAAACAGCUUUUAGUCGGGAAUAAACCUUUCUACGUGUAGGAAGCUGAAUGUACCGAAGGAAUAAGGAUCGGCUAACUCCGUG
rnacentral:rRNA from 1 species